UCGAACGAGUUCUCGUUGAUGAUCGGUGCUUGCACUGAGAUUCAACAUGGCACUGAGUGGCGGACGGGUGAGUAACACGUGGGUAACCUGCCCUUAAGUGGGGGAUAACAUUUGGAAACAGAUGCUAAUACCGCAUAGAUCCAAGAACCGCAUGGUUCUUGGCUGAAAGAUGGCGUAAGCUAUCGCUUUUGGAUGGACCCGCGGCGUAUUAGCUAGUUGGUGAGGUAAUGGCUCACCAAGGCGAUGAUACGUAGCCGAACUGAGAGGUUGAUCGGCCACAUUGGGACUGAGACACGGCCCAAACUCCUACGGGAGGCAGCAGUAGGGAAUCUUCCACAAUGGACGCAAGUCUGAUGGAGCAACGCCGCGUGAGUGAAGAAGGCUUUCGGGUCGUAAAACUCUGUUGUUGGAGAAGAAUGGUCGGCAGAGUAACUGUUGUCGGCGUGACGGUAUCCAACCAGAAAGCCACGGCUAACUACGUGCCAGCAGCCGCGGUAAUACGUAGGUGGCAAGCGUUAUCCGGAUUUAUUGGGCGUAAAGCGAGCGCAGGCGGUUUUUUAAGUCUGAUGUGAAAGCCCUCGGCUUAACCGAGGAAGCGCAUCGGAAACUGGGAAACUUGAGUGCAGAAGAGGACAGUGGAACUCCAUGUGUAGCGGUGAAAUGCGUAGAUAUAUGGAAGAACACCAGUGGCGAAGGCGGCUGUCUGGUCUGUAACUGACGCUGAGGCUCGAAAGCAUGGGUAGCGAACAGGAUUAGAUACCCUGGUAGUCCAUGCCGUAAACGAUGAAUGCUAGGUGUUGGAGGGUUUCCGCCCUUCAGUGCCGC
rnacentral:rRNA from 1 species